GAUAUACACCCAGGAGUGGAAUUCCUGAGCCACAUGAUAGUUCUGUUUUCAGUUUUUGAGAAACCUCCGUAUUGUUCUCCACAGUGGCUGUACCAAUUUACAUUCCCACCAACAGAAACUUGUACUCUUGGCAUUCACAUCUCAUACAACCUCUGACACACCCCCAACACCUUCUUUUGCACCUUCUCUCUUCCUUCUCCUCUUACUUUCCAUAGGCUUCAUUAAGGUACCUCAUGCUGGUGUCUCCUACAGUUACCUUCUUAGCUCUAAUCUUGCCCAAAUUCUAAUUUUGCAUUUCCAACUAGUAAGGACUAGAUCUGGAUAUCUCACUAUAAAUACAAACUCAACAUUUAUCUUCUCUCCAUUACCAAUUCUCCACCUAUGUUUUUAUUAGCAAAAUGAGUAUUUUUCAAAUUACCAGAGCUCAGAACAGUGUAAAGAUGGUUGAUUUCUUCUUUCUUACCACUUCUAGCCAAUAAUCUUAGUGAGUUGACUCUGAACUCCCUCACCGCACCUUUAUUUUCUAUGCUCUUGUGAUUCCUCUAAAUGAGUCAGUUCUUAACUUAUACUUAGCACAUUUGUAUCCACUGAACAUCAUGCAUCAAUCUCUGUUCCUGCUGUUCCAUGGGACAUCCUAAGACUUGCACCAUGCAAAUUUAUAAUCUUCUUUAUCUAUUGGUUUUUACACUACUUUUCCUCUUGUAAAAUGAUCACCAUAUUGAAUUUGACAAAUGCAGAUGAUUUUUCUUUCCUUACAGAACUCGCAUACAACUUAUUUCAAAUCUUGGGAUUCAAAGCAACUGAUCUAGAAGUUACAGCAGGAAAUGUGAGCAGGUAGUGCUAGUUUAACCCAAAUUUGUCAUCCCUUUAUGAGGGUCUUCUUGUACCUCUCUCCAUAUCCUUUUGGUCAUUCAGGAAAUCAAUGAAGAGGCAAAGGGAUGGCCUAUAGAAAAUGACAAAUAUAUCCACAUUUCAAAUGCAUUUGAAAGCAGGUUCCUUCUAGGGGCAAACCUUCAGUGCAGUACAAUAUAGUUCCCAGUAGCUGCUAAGAGCAAAUCUAGAAAGGACAGCUCUGCCCGAGCAUGCAGAAAUCAAGUUUCCGCCCUUGUAUCAAACACGUCAUGUUCCCUUUGUCUGUAUGCCUGCUUCCCAGUUAUUUUUCAAAAGAUUUUGUUCCUUCUAUGAGACUGCUUUUUGCAUUUCGCAUUUUCAUGUCUUUUUGCAUUUUUGUUUCAGAGCAUUUCAACUUUACCUAUUAACUUUCAAAUUAAGGAAACAUCUGGGCAAAUGGAAAGUCUCCGCAAUUAAUAAUUUUCUUAUAAAGUGUGAAACUUGCACCUACACAUUCUGCUAAUUAUGAUAUGAGUAAAAGUCAGUCUAGUGAAAACUGACUCGUUUUCCUGCCUUAUGUCUUUUAUACCAGUCAUUUCUGCAACGUGCUGAGGUUCUUCUAAAGAAAAUUUCACACUUUGUGUACUUUUCAAAAUAGUUAAUUGCUACUUCUGAAAGCUAUUAAGGUUCUAUUUUUUUCCAAAGUGUUAACAGUUUGAGUCAUUAAUAAAACUCAAAUUUAUGGAGAAUGCAGUCUCAUUUUCCGCUGGUGAGUUAAAAGAGUAUAAACGCUCUUGAGAACACAUAAUGGUUUCAUAUAUUGCAUCCUAUAAAGAGAAGGUUGCAUGCUUUUGUUUUUCUACAGAUAUUUCCACACCUUGGUCAUAAAAGUGGGGCUACAAGUGGGGGGUCAUGUGAUUCUCUCCAUUUGGGAAGUGCCUUAGAUGCUUGAGUACCACACUGCUGUCCUAUCAAUCCUCGCAAGAGCCUGCUGCGUUGAAACGAGGAGUUACCCUCUCUGCAUUCUGUAAAGGAGCAUCCUAUGGGGUUCUGGGACAUGCUGGGUGUCCCCAUGGUGCCAUUCAGACCGAAGUGAGCACUAAUUCUAAAUACGCUGUUUUUUAUUUUCCACCACCUCGACAGAAUUCACAGCCAGAAAGCAUUUUGGACACCCCCGCGGUCCACUCGCACCUCACCUUCACUGGUGAGGAUGAGAACAUACAAUUUGCCCAGGGUCAAAGAGUGGGAUUCUGACCACACAGGGACUUAGAACACCCUUGUUCUUUCCAAAUGUAAUGGAAAGGAGGAUUUCAGAGUCAGACAGAGCUAAGGUGAACCCUCGUUCCAAAAUACACUCCCUGUGAGCUUACCUACAAGGUACCUGGAAGUGACCUACAUUCACUGGACUUUUGGUCCUUCAUCUCUUACGUGGGAAUAUUAACACCUACUUUAAUGCAGUAGUGGGGAUGAAAAGGGAUGCGGAGUGCCUGGCUUAUAAGCACUGCUCAGGACA
ensembl:lncRNA